rnacentral:lncRNA from 1 species
CUGGCUCACUCUUGAAUUCCUUCCUGAGUGAAGCCUAAAACCUGCCCUACAUGACUUCUGCUAUACAUUUCAUCUCCGGACUGUUUGUGGCAAAUUGAUUGAAAUUAAGGUUAUUAAAGAACUGGACCCUCCGUUAUGAAACGUCUCAAAGUAGCACUGUAAUUCCUCUCUUACGUAUGGCAACUGGCAAUGUUAAACAUCAGGACUGUCUCCAUAUUGCAUUUUAUGGAUGCAGGCAGAAGACACAAGACUCCUGGGUCAGAGACAAAGGGCAUUAUUUCUCAGGACACAGGAAGCAUCAUGAGCAUCAGUAUGUUUGGGUCAGUUCUCUUCACCUACAAGUCCCACACGGAUGUUGCCGAUGGGGCUAGAUGACAUCUGCACAUUCAAAUAGCGAAGCAUCAGGAGCGUCUGCCAUGUUAUUCAGCUACUCAGCUUUGCUAGUGGCACUGUGGAUUAAAGACCCCCUGCUAACAUUGUAGAUGUUGUGCAAUGUACCAGAGAAAAAGAAAAAGAAAAGAGAAAAUGACUCUUCUUUAAGGAGUAGAUGACUUCCCUGAGAUUUCUAGACACAUAAGUACAAUUGACAAAAACAUGGACAAAUUAUUAACUCUAAAUGUGCAAAAAAAGAGCAUCAAGAAGAGAUACUUCCCCUCAGAGGAGGGAAAGAAAAACACAGAAAUGUGGAGUAAGGAAUGAGGUGACUGAUGUCAGUUGGCAAAGCUGUGAAAAUCUUAACCAAGGAGAGUCAAAAUGCUGCAGCAGAAUUACUAAAUUGUUUGGAAAAGUAAGAGGAUAGUAAAGGAGGAGGCACUGGUCAGGGACAUAACUUACUAGCAGGUUUGAACGUCAACCAUGAAUUUCCUGUUCCUUCAUUUUAUUUCUUCACUGCCAUCUUAUUCUCAUCAUCUCAGCCAUACCCAGGAUGCAAGCAAUGAAUUCAGGAAGAAAGAUGAUCUAAUGUUACAAAACAUUAUGAAGCAUCAUCUUAUUCCUGUGAAAUUCUUCUUUCUCGGUAUUUUUGCACUUCUCAGUCCUGUAAGGCAGAAUCAUACAAUUUUCAUUUUGCCUACGAAAUAGUAACAGAUUCCUGACAGUUAGAAUUCUUCCUGACAGAGACAGAAUGUGAUUCAAAGGUUCACAGUGACUGAUUUCUAUGCCAGAAAUGUGUAUCGUAGUCUACCUGAGAAGCAGAUCUACUUGGUAUCAUUUGUAAAGGAUGUAAAAUUUUGCCAGUGAUAAUGGCAGAUUUGUUCAAAGCUGCAGUGUGUCCCUUUUGCGUGUUAUGAUGGAAAUAACUACUACAGUCUACAAAGCAGGAUUCUAGGCGUGCUCCAUACCUUACUGAUUUUGUGGUAUUUUGCAGGCUCAUUUAAAAUAGCUAGUCAGGAAAAGUAUAUAAAAAUAUCCAAAAAUAAACUGUAAACCUUAUAUGAAUAAAAGCAUGUACACAAUUCUUAUUGCAGAUUUAUU